ACGGGUGAGUAACACGUGAGUAACCUGCCCUUGACUCUGGGAUAAGCGUUGGAAACGACGUCUAAUACCGGAUAUGAACUGUGACGGCAUCGUCUGCAGUUGGAAAGAAUUUUGGUCAAGGAUGGACUCGCGGCCUAUCAGGUAGUUGGUGAGGUAAUGGCUCACCAAGCCGACGACGGGUAGCCGGCCUGAGAGGGUGACCGGCCACACUGGGACUGAGACACGGCCCAGACUCCUACGGGAGGCAGCAGUGGGGAAUAUUGCACAAUGGGCGAAAGCCUGAUGCAGCAACGCCGCGUGAGGGACGACGGCCUUCGGGUUGUAAACCUCUUCUAGUAGGGAAGAAGCGAAAGUGACGGUACCUGCAGAAAAAGCACCGGCUAACUACGUGCCAGCAGCCGCGGUAAUACGUAGGGUGCAAGCGUUGUCCGGAAUUAUUGGGCGUAAAGAGCUCGUAGGCGGUUUGUCGCGUCUGCUGUGAAAUCUGGGGGCUCAACCCCCAGCCUGCAGUGGGUACGGGCAGACUAGAGUGCGGUAGGGGAGAUUGGAAUUCCUGGUGUAGCGGUGGAAUGCGCAGA
rnacentral:rRNA from 1 species